rnacentral:rRNA from 1 species
GAUGAACGCUGGCGGCGUGCCUAAUACAUGCAAGUCGAGCGAAAAGACGAGGAGCUUGCUCCUCUGACGUUAGCGGCAGACGGGUGAGUAACACGUGGAUAACCUACCUAUAAGACUGGGAUAACUUCGGGAAACCGGAGCAAAUCCCGGAUAAUAUAUUGAACCGCAUGGUUCAAUAGUGAAAGACGGCUUUGCUGUAACUUCUAGAUGAAUCCGCGCCGCAUUAGCUAGUUGGUAAGGUAACGGCUUACCAAGGCAAGCAUGCGUGGCCGACUGGACAGGCGGAUCGGCCACUCUGGAACUGAGACACGGGCCAGACUCCUACGGGAUGCAGCAGUAGGGAAUCUGCCGCAAUGGGCGAAAGCCUGACGGAGCAACAGCGCGUGAGUGAUGAAAGUCUUCGGAUCGUAAAACCCUGUUAUUAGGGAAGAACAACUGUGUAAGUAACUAUACCCGUCUUGACGGUACUUAAUCAGAAAGCCACGGCUAACUACGUG